CUUCCUCUGAGCUCCCAACCUCUUCAACAAACAUCAAAAGGUAGGACUGAAAUGGAGAGUGGGAACACUCAUUUACAGCAGGUUGGAAGAGGAGGGAACUUUUCUUGCUGCCAUUGCGUUCCACAGACGUGGGAAGUACAGCCAAGCAAAGAACCCGCAGAAGGAAAAAAGCUAGGCAUUUGCGAAGAAGUGGGGCCUGCGUUCCAUAUGGCUCGCCGGGGUGCAGAGCAGAUGGCCUGGGCAGCGUGCUCUAAGAGCCGACAGGAGCCAGCAGGCAGCCACUGAGCGUGCCCACCGAAGCCUGCCAUGUGAAAAGGCUUUCCAUCAGUUAGGGCAAGGAAAAGUGAUGAUUUUUAUGUUUAUGAUUCUCUGCUUUAUGCAUUUCUGGAGUGAAAUAAAAUGGCAGGAGGACAGGUGUGAGGAUAAGGUAGAAUAAUCUUUCGAUACGUCUACUGGUGCCGGAAGCCCAAGAAAACAGCUCUGGUUGCUAACGGAGGAGCCUAACGUGUCCCCAGUGAAAGCUGACUUUUGUGUAGUGCUUUAUGUGCCAGGCUUUUAAAAUGUCACAACCUUACUGGGUAGGUUUUAGUUUUGUUCCCAAUUUAAAAUGAGGAAAUGAGGCCCAAAGAGAGAUGCUUGAUCAAUGGUCCUCAGUGAGGCGGAGAGCCAUUCCUGACCUCAGUGUUCACGCAUAGCCGUGACUUCAGGCUACUUCUCCGGGAGAUGUGGACUUGCUGAAGAGCAGGUCCCCUUCUCUGUUAUACAUAUAGAGGGAAGGACAGAAGUCAUUCAUUCAAUCAACAAACAUUUACUGCCUGUCUGCAAUGUGCCAGGUGCCAUCAAGACCAAGUGGAUAUUUGAGGUGUGAGGACUCAGAAGGAUUUACAACCCAGUGAUUCGCAAUAAAAAAAUUUUCCUCCUCUAGAGAAUUCACUUUCACACCCCUUCGAAGUUAAUAUUUUAACAAGAACAGUGCCAUCAUAGUGCUCUGCUCUGCGGUUUGCGAUGGCUUGCUGUGGCAUUCUGGUGCCCUCUCGGGCCUUGCCCUCCGUCCUCAGGGACAUGUGCCUUCUGCGCCCCUCAAACUGGGGCACAUCCUGCUCCUCCCAACACGCCCAACACCUGCCUUCUUCGGCUUCUCUGAUGAUUCUCUUCCAUCUGCCUGGAACAAAUCACCUCUCACCUCAAAAUCCGUCUUGUCCAACUUAAACACAAACUUCCUCCACAAAACUGUCUCAGGACUCUGCCCAUACGCCACACCCAGAAGCUCUGCCCUCCCUGGGGACGUGCAGGACGCCUCGUCCACACCUCUCGGGACAUUGGGUACAUUUUGUCUGCACUGUGAUCAUUUUGUACUGGUCUUACCAACCCUUCUUGCCUGGGAGCUUUUGGGGGGAAGUCCUUUAGUUCAUCCAUCUUUGUGUACCCCAGGAUCUAGCAAUGGGUUGAAUAGAUGGCUGAAUAGGUAAUUUUCCUUGAACACAGUUCUUCUGUAUAUUAAAUCCAGAACCCUGGUUUUUAACCCUGUGGUGAAAAACCAAAUCAUGCCAGAUCGUGAGAAAGAACGUCAUUAUCAAAGGCCAAUCAGAGAUGGAUAACUUUCUCCUGGAACAUUAUGAUAGACAGUUUCUGAAAAGCAGGUGCCACAAAUGGGGAAAUUUUCAGUCUUUUUAGCAAAAUGUAUUGAUUUUUUUCAGAAUGGCAGUGAUUUUCCGUUUAUCCAAGCCUUAUUGCUACAGCUGUUGCUUUUCCAACCUCUCAGCCUCCGUCAUGCCCUCCGAGUUCUGGCAUUCGUCACCUCUGUCCUGUUUUCUUGCAUCACUCCUCAGCUGGGCUCUCUGACUACUGACUGUCUACUAUCAACCACCUCCCUUCACGCUAGAACGUGGUAUUUCUAAAAUAUCACUCUGAAGAGGCAAGAGGCCAUAGCGGUUAAGAGGCCAGACUCUGCAGUCAAUGACACUCAGGUCUGUGUCUCUCUGUGGCCACCCACUAGCUCUGUGACUUUGGACAAAUUACUUCUCCAAGCCUCAUUUUUCUCUUCCACAGUAUUGAAGAAAACAACUCUACUGUCUCAUAGCAUUGUUGUGAAAACUUCUCAUGCAAAAUGCUCAAGUAGCAUGCCUGGCAUAAAGUCUCGACUACUGAAUGCUAUCAUUUUAAUGUCAUUCCUUUGCUUUAAAAAACGAAGAAGAAGAAAAAACUUUAAGUGGAUUCUAAUAGGUUGCAAUAUAAAAUAGCCGAGUCUUGGCUUGGAAUAUAAAAAUAUAAAAUCCUUCCUCUUCCAGCCUCGUUCUAUCCUUACAGCAUGAUUUCCCGCUCCUUCCUUUUAUGUAAGCCCUCCCUUCAGCCAUAAAGAAUUUUUCAAUGUUCCGUGUCAUUCGCUUUCACACCCAUGAAUAUAUUGGUCUCUCUGACUGAAAUUCUCCUGAGCCCACCUGUUAAACUCCUCCAUCCUUCAAGAAUCAAGUACAAGCUCCUUUGUGAAGUCUCCUUAUCACCCCAGACAGAGUUAAGUCCCCCAUUUUGCUCCCAAAGCAUGCUAUUCUUAUUU
ensembl:lncRNA